GUGAUUCUGCCACCUCAGCUUCCCAAGUAGCUGGGACUUUGGAGAAAUGUCUCUUCAGGUUCAUUGCCCAACUUUGGCUGGGUUACUUGGUUUUGCAUGUAUUUUUACUAGAGAUAGGAUUUCACCAUUUUGGCCAAGCUGGUCUGAAACUCCUGACCUCAAGUGAUCCACCCAACUUGGUCUCCGAAAGCACUGUGAGUACAGGUGUGAGCCACAGCACCCGGCCUCAUUGCAUCUUCUAGGCGUCUUUAAAAAAAAUGUGUUGACUGCAUACAGGUGUGUGUUUAGUUUCUCUUACGUCCCUAGGUUCAUGGAUUCAUUUUUGUGCCACUACCGUAGUCUUUGGAUGAAUGGAGGUUUUACUUGUAAUUUGAAAUUGGGGAGUGUGCGGCCUCCGAUUGAGUUUGUAUUCCCUAGGAUUGCUUUGCAUAUUUAGGUUCUUUGGGUCUUUGGUGGUUCCAUGUGAAUUUUUAGCCAUGUGUCGUUAACAUUCCAUAAAACGUUUGUUUCAUACUUCACGUCCAGAAUUAGGGGUGCGUUGGGACAUUGUGAUACUUGUUUGUAUACCUUGAGUAUGGAUAAAAUCAGGGAGUUUCCCAUGCUUGUGACCACGUAUAGGUUUUAUAUCUUCGAUGUGUGAACAUUCAGUAUCCUCCUUGGUAGCUGUUUUGAAAACGGCAUGAUCAUAUUGUUAAGUAUCAUCGCCCUGCUUUGGAGUGGAAUACCAGAAUGUAUUCCUCUCCUGUAACUCUCUGUGUACCUAUUGUGUACCUAUUGCUAAUCCUUGAUGUCCUCUCCUCCCCCUAGGCUGUGGUGACCACUGCUGUAUUUCCACCUUCGGUCAGUUAAAUUUUUCAGCUCCUACAUGAGUGAGAACAUGGAGGCUUGGUCUUUGUCUGCCUUUCUGAUUUGAUUGAACAUAAUAUCUCCAGGUGCAGCCAUGUUGCUGGAAAUGAUAGGAUUCCACGAAUUUUGAUGGCCCAAAAGUAUCCCACUGUGUCUGUGUACUAGAGAUUCUUCAUCCCUUCAUCUGUGGAUGGACAGGACUGGAUGGAGGACCUGAAGACAUGUGAGGUUGAUGCACAGGUAGAAGAGAGAUUCUCACCAUCACUGAUUCACACAAAAGCAUUUCUCCGAGUGGUUGCGGAUGACAUGAUUUCCCAAAGUGUUAGAGCUGAAGUGUGUUUCCUUGUGUGUAAAUACUGUGGUUCCUUUAUCCCUUCAUCUGUGGAUACACAGGUGCAACCGUGUGGUUCCCCACGAUAUGAUUUCAUUGUGGUUUUCUGUCUGAAGAGUAUCCCAGUGUGUACAUGUGGAGCAGCUUCUUUAUCCCUUCAUCUGGAUAAGCAGGUAGGGUCUCGCAUCCAGGCUGGAGUGCAGUGACACGAUCACAGCUUACUGUAGCCUUGAUCUACUGGACUCAAGGACCCUUCCACCUCAGCUUCGCAAGUAGUUGUGACCACAGUGGCUUACAUCUAUAAUUCCAGAAUUUGGGAGGCCAAGGCGGGUGAAGUGCUUGAACCCAGAAGUUUGAGACCAGCCUGGGCAACAUGGCGAAACCCAGUCUCUACAACACAGCACAACAAAACAAAACCUAAAAUUAGCCGGGCACCUAUAGACCCAGCUAUGCAGCUACUCAGGAAGCUAAGGUCAGUGCAUCUAUAUAGCCCUGGGGGUCAAGGCUGCAGUGAGCUAUGAUCACACCACUGCACUCUAGCCUGGGUGACAGAAAGAGACCGUGUUUCAAAAAAAAAAAAAAGAUAAAGAAAAAGAAAAGAAAAGUACAUAAGUAAACUUAACUGUUUAUUGGGAACCAUGUAUGCACCAGGCACUAAGCUAGGGGAUGAGAUGGGAUAAAGAGUCUGGAGACUUGGGAAAAGGCUGCACCUCUUGCUUCUCCUUAGUCAAAGAGGAAGGGGAGGUAAAAUCCCUUGAAGUCAGGUCCUCCAGAGCUCCAGGACCCAAGGUGGAGCUCAGGGUGUGGCAAGGCAGCCAGGGGGCAGCAUCAGGCCUGGUGGGGGGCUGGGGCUGGGAGCGGGUGGGAUGUAGGGAGAGGGCUGUUCCACCCUCACCUGUGAGCUGCAUGAACACCCAGUGCAGCCCUGAAAUAUGCUCCCCCUCUCCCUGGCCACAUCUGUCUUGUUUUUCUCCUGUCCCACAUCCCAGGUGGCAGCCUUGGCUGCUUCUUGCCUUACUUUUUUCCCUUGUCACCCUGAGUUCUGGUUUAGGUCAAUGUUAAGAUUAACCUUAGCCUGGGGAUUCCCAGGGUCAGCCAGCUGCAGGCAGGGCCACCAGAGCUGGGAAGGUGAAUCCCCCACCCCCAUCCCUUGGCCUGGCCCCCACCCUACUCUCGCCUCAGACCUCGCUGCCCCUCCAGGCCUCCCCGGCCAACCCCUUCACCCAGGAAUCUACUGGUUUCCUAAAUGACUGGCCCUCAGGGUCCCUGACCCAGCUUCUCCUUGACCAGAGCGAAGGCUGGGCCCAGGGAGGGAAAGGCACUCACUUGCCCAGGAUCACACAGUGUGUCACCCACAGGCCCGGGCAAUAACCCAGGAGAUAACAGCAAUGGCUGGGGGUAGGUGAGGGUCCCCAUGGGCCUGGUACUCCCUAGGCAUUCUCAUUUAAUCCCCAAAACCAACCUGUGGGGAGACUGUUGUUAUCACCCCCUGUACAGAGGAGGAAACUGAGGCCCACUGAAGGGAGUCAAACCACCCAAGGUCAAGGGCUGCUGAGGGCUGAGCUUGGGUGGGACCCCUUUUCUGUCUGACCCUGUGGUUGGGGCUCCCACAGCAGAGGCUCCACUUGGAAGAACACGCUCUGGGCUCCUGCAGACCUUCACCAGCUGCCUUCCCUCCUCCUAGCCGUUCAGGGGAGGGGUGGCCAUCGGGCUCUGUAGCCCUGACUCGGCCUUACUCUGCUCUGAGGUCUCUUUUCUGCAUUCCUGAAAUGGGGUCAGAGCUGGGGAAUGGUAAAGGGAGGUCACCCCACCUGAGCAUAUCUGGUGCCUGGCAGAGGGCAGUGCUCCGUACAGUUGCCCUCCAUACAAGUGUGUUCCAUACAGGUGUGCUCUGUACAGGUGUGCUCCGAUGUGAGCUUGGGCAGGCCCCUUCCUCUCCUGAUCUUGGUUUCCCCAUUUGUCAGAUGGGAAGCCCUGGGUUGAAAGUCAGGGCACCCUUGAGCUGGCUCUGCCGCCCCCUUUGGGAUUUAACCGCUCUGAGCCUGUUAUCCUACCUGUGAAAUGGGACCAUGAUCCUGUCUGUGGGCCCCACAGAAUCCCUGAGUGGCUCAGACAGACAAGACGUGUCCCGUAUUUUAUAAAUGUACAGGGACAAUAAGGCCACUCAAUAGCGUCUCAACACAGGAUGCAGCUGCCUUCAGGAGUUGCAGAUCCAGCCAGAUCUGAGGCGUUCAGGGCCUUUAUUCUCAGCCUUGCUCCCUCUGGACCCUGUUCCUGCCCCUCUGCAGGGCUCUGGGGCUUAGCACAUGUCAGCCUGCUGGCCCAGCCCAGUGUGCGUGUUCACAGCCCUGGUCUACCGUCCACCCCAGAAAACUCCUGUGCACCCCGCAGGGCCCUGCCCUGGACCUGCCUCCCUGCAUCCUCUGCUCAUUCAGUCUUCUUUACCAGGUGGUCACUGUCUGUGUCCAAUUCACGGCCCAGACCCCUUCUCUCCCUUGUCCCCUGCCCCCAUGAAGGCCUGGCCCAGUGCAGCGCCCAGCCAUAUGGCAGAAUGGAAGGAAUUUCUAGGUGGUGAGCAGGGUGGCAGGGCAGGUGGCAUGGCAGACAGGUUCUAGGGUCUCUGAGAUGAUCCUUCAGGGUGGUUCCGUGGGGGCCCAUGUGUACCUGCCAUAUCCCUGUUGAGAGAAGGGGUGCUAAGGUCACUCCUGUGCCUUUGCUCACACCCAUCUUCAAGCAUGCACUUCCUCCCUCUGCCCUCCAGCCCUGGUUCAAGCUCCCAGGCCUGUCUGAGGUUGCCAUGGCCACCAGGCCACCUUUGCUGACAUGGAAUCCCCAGUAUCCCCUGCCCCUUGUCUUCUUCACAGAGGGUCUCAUCUGCAGUCUGAGCUCUGGACUGAGCAGGGACAAGUACUCCCAAGGGACCCCAGUGCCACAGCCCCCUUCUCCCACGGUGCAUGAGCAGGCACACUUCAGGUCUCACCUGGGGCUGGGCUAGGCUGAUCCUGCCUUGCCUGGGACAUCAGGAGCUGAGGAUCCUAUAUAGGUCCUCCUGUAUAGGAGGCCUCAAAGGGCUUGUGGAAGGAUGGGUUUGUGUGUGUGCAUGGGCAGAUAUAUGGAUGGACAGACCGAUGGAAAAAUGGAUGAGUAACUGUCCAGUCUUUAAGUCCUGUCCAUGGAGGAGGGACCCAGGAAGGCCUCUUGGGGACAGCUAUGCUUCCAGGUUCCUUGUUACUACCCAAGACCUUAGGGUCCCAGCGCAGCAAUUCAAAGGGUCCCCAUUUCCUUUUCCCUCCCUGUAACUGGCCCAGCCCCCCCCUGAAAUGUCCAAGGUCUGGAGGCAGCAGGUGGGGUGUGACCUGUAGGGACCCACUUCUAGCUUCGGCCAAUCCUGCCCACCCUGGGUCCCUCUGAGUUCCAAGUAUCUGGCUGUGCCCUACAGUUUGCACAGCACCCAGCAUUUUGAACAGUUCCUGCGGAGCCCUGAGGAGGGGGCAGGGCCUGCAAGAACAGAAGCUUCUGGAGCAGAAGAUGCCGCUUCUUACCCUUGACUGACUGUGAUCUUGAGACCCUGUCUAGCUCAGGUCUGGGCACAGGGCUUGGGCACCUCAGUGCCAGGACACAGGCCCAUUUUCCAGCUGGGUUGUUGGAAGCUUCAUUAGCAGAACUCUCCUAUACCCCAAUGUCCCCACCCCCAGCAGCCUCCCCUCUAAAAACCAUUUGACAAUUUCUAAUAAGCAUGUGCUUAUGCAUAUCAAGCAAACCCUACUCCUAGGUUUUUAUCUAAAUGGAAUGAAAACUGACGUUCAAACAAAAAUUUGUAUGCAAAUAUUUAUACUGGUUUUAUUCACCAUUGGCAAGAAGCAGAAACAUCUGGUUUGACUCACCACACACACACACACACACCACACACACACACAAACACACCACACACACACACAACUCACACACAACACACGCAACACACACACAACACACGCAACACACGCAACACGCAACACGCACACACGCAACACGCACACAACGCAACACACGCAACAACACGCACACGCAACACACGCCACACACGCAACACACGCUCACACACGUGCACACGCAACACACACAACACACACGCACACACACGCAACACACACACGCAACACACAACACACACAAACACACACACACACGGAAAUAGCCCAACUGUCAUUCAACUGGUGAAUGGCUAAACACAUUGUGAUACCUUCAAAAAUGGAAUCAUACUCAGCAAUAAUAGGGAACAAACUAUUGAUCCAUAAGGCAACUGGGAUGAAUUGCAACAUUGUUACACUGAACUCAGGAAGCCAGACUCAGAAGGUUACAUACUUAGACUCCUACUCAGCAUUAAAAAGGAAAAAACUAUGUUGCAACCGAGCCACCUGGAGGAACACCCAGAAAACUAUACUGAGUAGGAGAAAGCCAGUCCCCAGAAGUCAUAUACUGUAUAAUUCCAUGUGCAGAACAUUCUUGAAAUAACAAAAUUAUACAAGUGGAGACCACAUUAGCAGUUGCCAGGGGCUAAGGAGGGGUUUGGGACAGUGGGAAGUGAGUGUUCCUGUGAAAGGCCAACAUGAGGGAUGUUUGGGAGGGAACCCUUCUGUUCUUGCUGUAUCAAUGUCAGUCUCCUGGCUGUGAUCUGUUACUGUAGCCGCAAGGUGCUACCCUUGAGGGAACUGGCCCGAGUGCCUAGGAUCCCUCUGUAUGAUCCCUCACAACUGCAUGAAAAACUACGAUUAUCUCAAAAUAAAAAGUUUAAAAAACGGUCA